rnacentral:rRNA from 1 species
GUGGGGAAUAUUGGACAAUGGGGGGAACCCUGAUCCAGCCAUGCCGCGUGUGUGAAGAAGGCCUUUUGGUUGUAAAGCACUUUAAGCGAGGAGGAGGCUACCGAGAUUAAUACUCUUGGAUAGUGGACGUUACUCGCAGAAUAAGCACCGGCUAACUCUGUGCCAGCAGCCGCGGUAAUACAGAGGGUGCAAGCGUUAAUCGGAUUUACUGGGCGUAAAGCGCGCGUAGGUGGCCAAUUAAGUCAAAUGUGAAAUCCCCUAGCUUAACGUGGGAAUUGCAUUCGAUACUGGUUGGCUAGAGUAUGGGAGAGGAUGGUAGAAUUCCAGGUGUAGCGGUGAAAUGCGUAGAGAUCUGGAGGAAUACCGAUGGCGAAGGCAGCCAUCUGGCCUAAUACUGACACUGAGGUGCGAAAGCAUGGGGAGCAAACAGGAUUAGAUACCCUGGUAGUCC